rnacentral:rRNA from 1 species
AUUGAACGCUGGCGGCAGGCCUAACACAUGCAAGUCGAACGGUAACAGGAAGAAGCUUGCUUCUUUGCUGACGAGUGGCGGACGGGUGAGUAAUGUCUGGGAAACUGCCUGAUGGAGGGGGAUAACUACUGGAAACGGUAGCUAAUACCGCAUAACGUCGCAAGACCAAAGAGGGGGACCUUCGGGCCUCUUGCCAUCGGAUGUGCCCAGAUGGGAUUAGCUAGUAGGUGGGGUAACGGCUCACCUAGGCGACGAUCCCUAGCUGGUCUGAGAGGAUGACCAGCCACACUGGAACUGAGACACGGUACAGACUCCGACGGGAGGCAGCAGUGGGGAAUAUUGCACAAUGGGGGCAAGCCUGAUGCAGCCAUGCCGCGUGUAUGAAGAAGGCCUUCGGGUUGUAAAGUACUUUCAGCGGGGAGGAAGGGAGUAAAGUUAAUACCUUUGCUCAUUGACGUUACCCGCAGAAGAAGCACCGGCUAACUCCGUG